AUAAGACCUGUGAACCUGUGUACAUUUAGCUUUUGGGUUUUCCUUAUUUGGAUGAGUCUUACUGGAACAGAUGUACAAAUGUUAUAAUACAGGUCUUUCAACUCAUUUUUCUUGCAGAGCAUGCAAAUGUCUUGAAAGAUUUUUUUUUAAUAGCACUGUGCAUAAACUUUCAUUUGGUUCAUUUUGGGAAAAAAUAUGGCUGACCUAAAUAGAAAAGCUAUCUUUGAUCUUGCAGAGAUUGAACUGUUAGCAAAAAUUAAUAACUGAAAAAUGAACACGUGUGGCAUCCCUCCAGAGAACAAAAUAGAUCUUUGAAUCAAAGAAUCUCAGUGCAGAAGAAGCCAACUUCUCACAAAGCUUAUGAUUUUAAGCAAAAUGCUCAGAAUUUUAAAAUGGAUAUAUGCCAAGAAUAUAUAAUGGAGCUGAAUGAACAGGUAUCACUAAUAUUUUUAUGAAUGUCGUCUCUCUAUUGUGCGUUGUGCUAUUCCUCGUUCUGCGUUGUAAUUAAAGUUGAAGUGGGUCAUUCUUUUUUUUUUUUCAGGUGCUACCUGUGAACAGUUUCACACUACUGAAAGGCCUGAAACUAAGAGGCAUUUGUCCUUGAAACCAGUCAUGAAUGGAAGGUGAUGUUGAGAAGUCGUUAUCCAUCACUCUGGAAGAGUUGGUGAUGGGCAGACUGCCUGGCUUCUGGCAUGGCAUUUGGGUACAGGGGAUGGAAAAACAGAAGCUUAUCCAGAAAUCCUGAAAUACAUGGUCUGAUUUUUCCAGAACUGGAACAAGAGAAGCACCUCACCAAAAGAGAGCAAAUGCUGUCAUUUGACCUUUUCAGCCUUUGGAUUCUCAGUGCAUCUGACUCGACCAGGCAGGUCUGGGGAAGAGAAAAAUUAACAGCAGAUGGAUUUAUGAAAAGAGCUCAGUGGCAGAUGGUGCCUACAGAUAUUUACUGACAUGGCCUCGGUCUUACAGGGUGGGUUUUUUUCCCCUUUUAGUAGUGCUGUUAGUACAUGAGUGUGUGUGUGUGUGUGUUACGACAUAAUGCUGGCAGAUAGGGAUUACAUUGUUAGCAAGAGAAGAAACUCAGGGACUUCUAGUAUUGAGUUUGAGUAGUUCAGAGUUCCUCUUUGCUCAUGGUUUAAUCCAAUGGCAAGCAGCUGCGGUAGGAAUCUUUCUGGUCUCCUCCAUCUGUAAAUUCUUGAAUCACCAUUUUUCUGAAAUGGGUUCAUCUUCAUUGUACAGGGUUUUUAUCUUCUGGUAAUCAUUGUCACCUACACACUCAGACUCAGAGCUCUGACUGCCUUUCCACUAACGCUUCAGUUUUGUACUUCGAUAAUGAAGAUAAUGAUGCUGGACUUGAUUAUGAAAUGAGCUGAGUUUCACAGCUUAGAAUGUUUCUGUAUAUGGACUAGGUAUAAUUAAUUUCUUUCUGUUAUUACAUGCAAAAUCCUGUAACAGAUGGACUAGUAUAAUUUGGCAGAUAAUUUAUCUGACGUUUCCCUCAUCAAUCAUUAAACAAUUGGUAUAUUUCUUCAUUGUGCAGUCAGCUUUAAAUCCUAUUUUGUUAGAUGAUUCAUGGCAUACUGAUGGGAUUGGUCUAGAUCCAUCGAAAUCAAUGAGGAGACUGACUUGAACAGACUGUGAAUCAGACCUCAUUUUUAUACCAGUUGAUCUCAAAAGAUGGCAUAAUUAGUGAGUAAGAAGAUUCAUUUUAAGUUGUGUCUUGCUUUGUACUGGGGUUUUUCUGGAGAUGUUCCUCUGCAUAAUGCACAGAUAAGAAUGAAGCAAAUGUCGUUUUAUAUCCGUUUGCAGGGGCCUGUGUUGGAGGACAUGUUGCUGUGACAGUGGUGUCUGUAGAUGAUAUGUUGAAGGAGUGCAGAGUCAUGGUCUUACUACUGAAGUAGUAAAAUCCACUGAAGUCAUCCCAUUCCCUUCUCCUUCAGUAGUAGACACCUCCUCAUGUCAUGGAACAGAGCCACGAUACUUGGUAGUUGACUACUUGAUGUUUAUUAAAACUUCCUUCUCCCAAGACAGUGAUUUUUUUUUCCUAUGUAAUUUUAGAAGAAUGCUUGAAAAAGGUGACUUAGAUGAACCCUACAGGCUCAUUAAACAGUGGCAACUGAUAAAUCUUUUCUUUGAUAGUCUCUUGAAUUUUUAAGUCUUGGAGUUGGUAAUGCCCAUACUAUAGAUGUACGGAAAUGAAUAUUUCAGAAGUGGGCCAUACCUUUUAAGUGGGGUGAUUUGAAUAAAUGAUUUCACUUUUCUUCUGCCUUUUAAUUA
ensembl:lncRNA